AUUGAACGCUGGCGGCAGGCUCAACACAUGCAAGUCGAACGGCAGCACAGGGGAGCUUGCUCCCUGGGUGGCGAGUGGCGGACGGGUGAGGGAUACAUGGGAAUCUACCCUGUCGUGGGGGAUAACGUAGGGAAACUUACGCUAAUACCGCAUACGAACUACGGUUGAAAGCGGCGGACCGCAAGGCGUCGCGCGAUUGG
rnacentral:rRNA from 1 species